CAGUGAAAGCCCUUGAAUUAGCCAAAAGAAACCAGUGUGUGACUUCAAGUCGCAAAGGUCAGGUGCCCCAGUAAGAGCAUGGGCAGCUUGGAGCCGUCCUUGGGCAGGUCUCACCACAGAGCCCUGGGAGGAGGUCCUGGUGUAAGAUGUCUGGCAGGGAAGUGUGAGCCCCCAGAGGUUCCUGGGCUGCAGGAGGUGUUGGAAGGCAAUUGCCGAACAGAGGAAAGGCUAUCAAUCAUCUGGUUUCGACUCCUGUGUAUGGAAAUCCAGAGAAUAUGUUACCAAUUUUCAGCUGUGUGCUUGGCAGUGCAGCAGCAGCCAUGGACUUCCCUUCCACCUCCUAAUGACCCUACUGCAAAAAGCUCAUGCUAGUGAUGCAAAAAGCUGAAAUCAAAGUUUGGUUUCAGCUAGAUGACAAGUCUGCAGGAACCCAGUGAUCCACAGCUGUAGUGGUAAUAAAUCAGAUUUUUUUAUUAUUAUUAUUAUUUUU
rnacentral:lncRNA from 1 species